GCAGAGCUCAGUUGCUUAGAGCAUGGUGCUAAUAACAUCAAGGUCGCAGGUUCAAUCCCUGUUUAGGGCAGCUGCA